rnacentral:misc_RNA from 1 species
GAAAUGCGAUAAGUAAUGUGAAUUGCAGAAUUCAGUGAAUCAUCGAAUCUUUGAACGCACAUUGCGCCCGCUAGUAUUCUGGCGGGCAUGCCUGUCUGAGCGUCAUUUCAACCCUCGAGCCCCUUUGGGCUCGGCAUUGGGGAUCGGCUGUCCACCGCGGCGGCCGGCCCCGAAAUCUAGUGGCGGUCUCGCUGUAGCCUUCUCUGCGUAGUAGUAAAACCCUCGCAGGCGGAGAGCGGCCUGACCACGCCGUAAAACACCCAACUUUACCAAGGUUGACCUCAGAUCAGGUAGGAAUACCCGCUGAACUUAA